CCUCUAAAUUUCAGUUCGUGUGGUGGCUCAAGCUGGAGGACUUGCUCUUGUCUGGCCAUGUCCCAGAGGUUCGAAAGCCUUUCUAAUAUAAGUACCUGGUCUAUAUGUCGCAGCUUUUGUUACUAUAACUAUUGUAAAAUCUCCUAAAUACGACCCGAUUUCGUUAAGGGAUAGCUGAAGGAUCACAAAUGCACCACUGGGACAGCCAAGUGCCAACAGCUGAAGCUAAGCUAGCAAGCAAGCAGGAAGGAAAGGAUCGGAUCCGUGUGACGUCGUGGGAGGGGACAGAUGAUAUUCGACCCCAACAUGACCAAGAAGAAUAAGAAGCCUUUCAUGCUGGAAGAAGACAGUAGGGACAGAGUGGGAGAGGACACACCGCAGGUGGAGGCCAAAGAGGUGGAACCUGAUGGUGGGGAGGACAGAUGUCGCGUUCAAAACAAAUGGGAACUCUGAAAAUGCGAGGUCAAAUCAUGACAUCAGUGAUCUUCAGGUCGGACAGUCGGAGUUCUAGAAAGAGGCCAGAGUUCUCAAGUUGGAUUUCCAAGUUGGAUGAACGUUCAAAUCGUUUGUUUUAUUCCGAGUUCAUAGUUGAUUUGAACGCACUGAAGUCAGAGGUCUGAGUUUUUCGAGUUCCCAGUUCCCAGUUGUUUUGAAUGAGGCAAGAAAGUUCAAUCUGGACAAUCUCGAAGGAAGGAAGAAAGGGAUGUGAGGAGAGGAAACGUGAAAACAAGAGCCUUUUCUCAUUUGGGCAAAAGUCUGUCCUCUGUCCUCUUUCCACUCUCCUCCGUGAACCCGAAACCGGUAAGUUUUGAAAUCUGCAACACCCCCUUUGAAACAGCAAUAGUUUUCUCGAAAUAGAAAAAGCAUGUAAAUAUUUAAAAACGAUACAUUGUUUAUCCUUUUACCUGUAAAAUGUCUUGCACAACUAGCUACAUUUAGUUUUUAUCACUUGAUAUAUUUAUUUUGGGAUUCCACCCUAUAAACGUA